CAAAAGCGCAAUCCUCCAAACGCUCGCCCCGCCGCGCCGCGCCACACCGCCCAGCCACCCACGCGAGCCCGCACGCCCGGCCCUCACCCCACCACCACCGUCCCUUGCUGCCGGUCCCGCCUCGCCGCUCUCCUCUGCUCCCAACCGCUCCUUUCCUUCCUUCCUCCCUUUUGCCGCCCGCGCCCGCACCCCCGCCCCGCUCCGGCGCCGGACCGCCGCGGCGCCGGCGGCGAAAACCUAGAUACGUCUCCCGCCGGGACCCCCGGCGCCCGUGUCCGUCCGUGUCCAUGUCGUCGUGCGAGUGCCUCGUGGUCGAGAAGGUGUCGGAGGACCACGCCGGCGGCGGCGAGGCGGCGGGGGAGCGGCGGGCCGGCGGCCGGGCCCCGCGCUCCGAGGCCAUGUUCCCCAUCUACGUCAUGGGGAGCUCGCGGGCGCGGGCCGUGCUCCUCGACCCCUCCGCCGCCGGGGACCCCAUAUGGGAGGCCGUCAAGGCCGAGGCCAGGUCCGAGGCAGAGAAGGAGCCUAUUUUAAGUAGCUUCUUAUAUGCGAGCGUAUUAUCUCACGACUGUCUGGAGCGGGCGUUGAGCUUCGUCCUUGCAAACAGACUUGAAGAUCCAACCUUGCUUGCGACUCAGCUAAUCGACAUUUUCAAUGACGUCAUGAUGAAUGACGUAGAUAUACGCCGUUCCAUUCGCCUUGAUGCUCAGGCCUUCAAAGGAAGAGAUCCUUCCUGCGCACAAUAUAGCUGGGCCCUAUUAUACCUAAAGGGUUACCAUUCCUUGCAGUCCUAUAGGAUAGCUCAUGUAUUAUGGAAUCAAGGGCGUAAGGUUCUGGCGUUGGCGCUGCAAAGCCGUAUCAGUGAGGUUUUUGCAGUGGAUAUACACCCAGCUGCCAAAAUUGGAGAAGGAAUAUUGUUGGAUCAUGGAACAGGUCUAGUCAUUGGUGAAACUGCUGUUGUUGGCAACUGGGUUUCAUUAAUGCAGGUAGGCCUUUGCUACAGGGUGUUACGCUUGGAGGUACUGGAAAGGAACACGGAGAUAGGCACCCCAAGAUCGGUCAGGGAGCUCUUCUUGGAGCUGGUGCUACCAUCCUUGGCAACAUAACUGUAGGCGAAGGUGCCAUGAUUGCCGCUGGUUCCCUUGUUUUAAAGCAUGUACCGCCUCACAGUAUGGCGGUAGGAAAUCCUGCGAAGGUAGUUGGCUAUACAGAGAAAGAAGAUCCUUCGUUGACUAUGAAGCAUGAUGCAAGGAGAGAUUAUUUUGAGCAUGUUGCCGGUAGUUUUCCUGACAGUAGAUCCAACGGAAGUGUCGUGAAAUAAAAAACUUGCAAGGAGGAAUGGAAUUUUGGACAUUUCUACAUCCUGGUGGACGUACGGCGCUGGAUAUUUGGCGACGCCCGAGUGGUGCUUCCCCCUGCCCAGCAACCCUCCUCUUGUGAGAUCAUGCAGGCGAGCCCGCCAAGGGUCUCCGGAAGCUCCCCAGAUGUAUUUAUCAUGUGCCCUUAAACUGAUGCAAUAAUGUGAAGAUGUUUUCUGUAAAAACUGGAAGGAGUGGUACAGAUAUAUAAUCUGUAGAGAUCUCCAGCGGCAAGCUGUAGAUACCUCAGAUCAGAGCGUGUGACCUCAACUAUGUGAGCCAGCUACACUUCUGGAUCAGCAUCAAAAGAAAGUAGUUAUGCG